rnacentral:piRNA from 1 species
UGCUCUUAGGUAAGUCAUUGUUUGGAGCCUC